AUCAACUUUCGAUGGUAGGAUAGAGGCCUACCAUGGUGGUAACGGGUAACGGGGUGUUAGGGCACGACACCGGAGAGGGAGCCUGAGAAACGGCUACCACAUCCAAGGAUGGCAGCAGGCGCGCAAAUUACCCAAUCCCGACACGGGGAGGUAGUGACAAUAAAUAACAAUACGGGGUCCUUUCGGGUCUCGUAAUUGGAAUGAGUACAAUUUAAAUCUCUUAACGGGGAACAAUUGGAGGGCAAGUCUGGUGCCAGCAGCCGCGGUAAUUCCAGCUCCAAUAGCGUAUAUUAAAGUUGUUGCAGUUAAAAAGCUCGUAGUUGAAUUUCGGGAUCAGUACGCUGGUCGUGCCUUCGGUAUGUACUGGUGUCACUGAUUCCUCCCUUCUGACGAACCGCUAUGCCAUUUAUUUGGUGUGGCGGGGAAUCAGGACUGUUACUUUGAAAAAAUUAGAGUGUUUAAAGCAGGCUCGCGCCUGAAUACAUUAGCAUGGAAUAAUGAAAUAGGACGUUUGAUUCUAUUUUGUUGGUUUCUAGGAUCGACGUAAUGAUUAAUAGGGAUAGUUGGGGGCAUUAGUAUUCAAUUGUCAGAGGUGAAAUUCUUGGAUUUAUUGAAGACUAACUACUGCGAAAGCAUUUGCCAAGGAUGUUUUCAUUAAUCAAGAACGAAAGUUAGGGGAUCGAAGACGAUCAGAUACCGUCGUAGUCUUAACCAUAAACUAUGCCGACUAGGGAUCGGAUGAUGUUAAUUUUAUAAUGACUCAUUCGGCACCUUACGGGAAACCAAAGUGUUUGGGUUC
rnacentral:rRNA from 1 species